rnacentral:rRNA from 1 species
AGCAGCCGCGGUAAUUCCAGCUCCAAUAGCGUAUAUUAAAGUUGUUGCAGUUAAAAAGCUCGUAGUUGAAUUUCGGGAUCAAUAUGCCGGUCAUGCCUUGGUAUGCACUGGUAUCUUUGAUUUCUCCCUUCUGACGAACUUUGAUGUCAUUAAUUUGGUGUCAUAGGGAAUCAGGACUGUUACUUUGAAAAAAUUGAGUGUUUAAAGCAAGCUCACGCUUGAAUACAUUAGCAUGGAAUAAUGAAAUAGGACGUUUGAUUCUAUUUUGUUGGUUUCUAGGACCGACGUAAUGAUUAAUAGGGAUAGUUGGGGGCAUUAGUAUUCAAUUGUCAGAGGUGAAAUUCUUGGAUUUAUUGAAGACUAACUACUGCGAAAGCAUUUGCCAAGGAUGUUUUCAUUAAUCAAGAACGAAAGUUAGGGGAUCGAAGACGAUCAGAUACCGUCGUAGUCUUAACCAUAAACUAUGCCGACUAGGGAUCGGAUGAUGUUAAUUUUUUAAUGUACUUC